CCUGAAAGGCACUCCUCUCAGCCAGCAAUGAUGGCAGAAGUGCUGUAAAAGGGCCUGAAGGCCAAGUCACAUGUUUAGGUCUCCCCAGCUCAUCCUCCUAUGUUGACUGAAAUGUUAUCCACUUUCUUUUCUCUAAGAAUAACUUGGAGCAUUUCUACAGACUCCAAUGCUCAAGAGAUUCUUUAUAUCCAGAAAUUUUAUGAGAUGAAAGCAUCUCAUUCAAAUUACAAAGCCUUCUUGGAAGAGCAAGUGGCCUCUUGGAGACUACAUUAUUCAUUCUCAAGGGGACUAGGUAAGGACAUUUUUCAUUCUGCAGCUAAAGUAUUCCCUACUGACUAUCCUGUCUACACAAAAAUA
rnacentral:lncRNA from 1 species